CACAGUGUAGCAUAGUGGUUAAGGAGCAGGACUCGUGAUCAUAAGGUUGCCGGUUCGAUUCCCCACUGGGG
rnacentral:tRNA from 1 species